rnacentral:rRNA from 1 species
AGCGGCGGACGGGUGAGUAACGCGUGGGUAACCUGCCCUGUACACACGGAUAACAUACCGAAAGGUAUGCUAAUACGGGAUAACAUAAGAAAGUCGCAUGGCUUUCUUAUCAAAGCUUUUGCGGUACAGGAUGGACCCGCGUCUGAUUAGCUAGUUGGUAAGGUAACGGCUUACCAAGGCGACGAUCAGUAGCCGACCUGAGAGGGUGAUCGGCCACAUUGGAACUGAGACACGGUCCAAACUCCUACGGGAGGCAGCAGUGGGGAAUAUUGCACAAUGGGCGAAAGCCUGAUGCAGCAACGCCGCGUGAGCGAUGAAGGCCUUCGGGUCGUAAAGCUCUGUCCUCAAGGAAGAUAAUGACGGUACUUGAGGAGGAAGCCCCGGCUAACUACGUGCCAGCAGCCGCGGUAAUACGUAGGGGGCUAGCGUUAUCCGGAAUUACUGGGCGUAAAGGGUGCGUAGGCGGUCUUUCAAGUCAGAAGUGAAAGGCUACGGCUCAACCGUAGUAAGCUUUUGAAACUGUAAGACUUGAGUGCAGGAGAGGAGAGUGGAAUUCCUAGUGUAGCGGUGAAAUGCGUAGAUAUUAGGAGGAACACCAGUUGCGAAGGCGGCUCUCUGGACUGUAACUGACGCUGAGGCACGAAAGCGUGGGGAGCAA